UUCUUUAUUUCCUUCUUCCCCAAAACCGCCGAUCCACCUUCUCUUCCCCGACCCUUCUUCUCGAUCUCUUCUCCUCUCCACCGAAUCUCUCUCGCGUUGUCGCCGAUCUCCGCGAGCUCACCGCCGGCGGAGGUUUUCCUCUCUGGAGUCUCACCAACGUCAAGGUCCCUGGCUACCGGGCGGCUCGAUCCUCUCCUCCCUCCUCCUCUCAUGUCUCUGCCCUAGAUCACCGAUGCACCAGUUCUUGGCGAUCGGCGAUUCUUUCCCCGUCUCUUGGUGUUGCCGGUGAGGAGUGGAUCUUGGAGCUUCGAAGGGGUUAAAGCUAAGUCGGGUCUUUGGUCGUAGAUCCCUUUCUCCUUGUUGAUUGAGGGGCAGAGGAAUUCCGGGAACAUAGAAUCGAAUCGGGCGACACCUCCUGCAGACAAUCGGUUGAGUGAGGACCUGCUCUGUGGAUUUCAAAUUGAAUGCUGUGAGUUCUUGAUUCCAGCAAUUUCUUGGUCUCGGCAACAACAAUCCUCUUGUCCCAAUAGCCACAGUAGCUGUGGAAUUGAGGACUCUGAUUCGAGACGGGCGUCUCGGAUUCGGAUUUGGAUUGACUGUACCUUUUAUUGGA